GACGAACGCUGGCGGCGUGCUUAACACAUGCAAGUCGAACGGAAAGGCCCUGCUUUUGUGGGGUGCUCGAGUGGCGAACGGGUGAGUAACACGUGAGUAACCUGCCCUUGACUUUGGGAUAACUUCAGGAAACUGGGGCUAAUACCGGAUAGGAGCUCCUGCUGCAUGGUGGGGGUUGGAAAGUUUCGGCGGUUGGGGAUGGACUCGCGGCUUAUCAGCUUGUUGGUGGGGUAGUGGCUUACCAAGGCUUUGACGGGUAGCCGGCCUGAGAGGGUGACCGGCCACAUUGGGACUGAGAUACGGACCAGACUCCUACGGGAGGCAGAAGUGGGGAAUAUUGCACAAUGGGCGGAAGCCUGAUGCAGAAACGCCGCGUGCGGGAUGACGGCCUUCGGGUUGUAAACCGCUUUCGCCUGUGACGAAGCGUGAGUGACGGUAAUGGGUAAAGAAGCACCGGCUAACUACGUG
rnacentral:rRNA from 1 species